rnacentral:rRNA from 1 species
GCGGGGGGUAACUCCAACCCCUGUGACAUACCAAUUGUUGCCUCGGCGGAUCAGCCCGCUCCCGGUAAAACGGGACGGCCCGCCAGAGGACCCCUAAACUCUGUUUCUAUAUGUAACUUCUGAGUAAAACCAUAAAUAAAUCAAAACUUUCAACAACGGAUCUCUUGGUUCUGGCAUCGAUGAAGAACGCAGCAAAAUGCGAUAAGUAAUGUGAAUUGCAGAAUUCAGUGAAUCAUCGAAUCUUUGAACGCACAUUGCGCCCGCCAGUAUUCUGGCGGGCAUGCCUGUUCGAGCGUCAUUUCAACCCUCAAGCCCCCGGGUUUGGUGUUGGGGAUCGGCGAGCCCUUGCGGCAAGCCGGCCCCGAAAUCUAGUGGCGGUCUCGCUGCAGCUUCCAUUGCGUAGUAGUAAAACCCUCGCAACUGGUACGCGGCGCGGCCAAGCCGUUAAACCCCCAACUUCUGAAUGUUGACCUCGGAUCAGGUAGGAAUACCCGCUGAACUUAAGCAUAUCAAG